GGGAGGAGAGGGCGGGGUCGCGCGUGACUGCAGCGCCUCCUCAGGCGCUCCGCGCGCUUCCAGAGGUGGUCCGCGCCGUGCCCACGUGUGUGGCCGGGCCGUGGCCGGGUUGGACCGAGUGUUUGUCUAUCCCCUCUUUCCCCCCCCCCUUCCCCGAGUGGUACCGGGGGACUCUUCCCCGCGUGGGUAGCUAUGGAGCGGGCGCUCAGGUCUCUUGCCCGCAGGGCCUUGGGGCUGCCGUCCACCGCCCGCAGCCGCUGCUUUGGGGAGGGCCCCACGCGGGAUCAGCAGCCCUCGCGGCUGUGCACGGCUGCGGCGCGAGGCGGGGACGGCGCCCGCACCUUCCGUGGGGGUCUCCACGCGGCGCGGGAGGGCUGGGGCUCGGCGGGACGCGAGGCCUCGAAGGGCAGGAGGAGGCCGGAGGGCAGGGCUCUGCCCAUCGAGAGGACGAGGGGCAGCGAGAUCCUGUUCGGCGUAGCGCCGUGCUCCAUGGCCCUGUCCCAGGCCAGGAGGGAUCUGUUCAGGCUGUUCCUCAAGCGGAGCGGCGGCCCUCAGCGGCUCGUCACCAGCGAGUUCGUGCUGCAGGCCGCGGCCCGCGGGGUUCCCGUGCUCCAUGUCGGGAGGAGGGAGCUGGAUACGCUGUGCGGGGGUCGCGUCCACCAGGGAGUGUGCUUGGAGGCUACCCCGCUCCGUUUCAAGAGGCUGGAGGAGGCCGAAGAGCCCGGUUUGGGGGAUGGAGAGAGCCCGAACCGACAGCUGCUGUGGCUGGCGCUGGAGCAGAUUCAGGACCCCAUGAACCUGGGGGCACUGCUGCGCUCUGCGUACUUCUUGGGGGUGGACAGAGUGGUGACGAGCCAGAGGAACAGCUGCCCCUUGACUCCAACAGUGAGCAAAGCAAGUUCUGGAGCUAUGGAAGUCUUUGAUGUCUACAGCACAGAUGAUCUCCGGAGCUUUUUGAAGGCUAAGGCUGCAGAAGGCUGGGAAGUUGUGGGAACAGUGAGCCAGUCUGAAACUGUGGAAAAUGUUCCUGUCAUCAGCUGCUUGGAAUUUCGGUGGAAUAAACCCAUUAUUUUAGUAAUAGGUAGUGAAGGUGAUGGCCUUUCCUUGGAGACGCAGCUCCUGUGCCACCAGAUGCUGGUCAUCCCCUCUGGCAGGGCACUGCACCCGGGCAUUGAGUCACUGAACGUCUCCGUAGCCACUGGCAUCCUCCUGCACUCCAUCUGCAGCCAAAAGCUGAGGAACAGUGAUUGAUUUUUAUCCUGGCACAUGGUGGGAGCUGCCCAGCCCAGAUCUUUGAUGGCAAGAAGCUGCUCAGUGUUCCAUGGCUGUAUUCAGUAUGGAUAUGGAAGUGCUCCUUCCAGGCUCGGCACCAUCUCAGCAAGUUUCAGGUACUUAAACAUGAGGAGACCCUUCAUUAAGUUUGCUUGUGUCUGGGAAAGCCACAUGCCCUCCAACCAUGCUCAGCCAUGGAGGCUCAUCUUUGACAGACAGGCAGGAAAUGCUCUUGACCAUCUGCUGCUGCUCUAAGAAACGAGUGUUUACUACCAGAAAUAUCGGAGGUAUCUGGGAUAGAUCACAGCAGAGUGUAAGGGCAGAGUGCAGCCACUUAUGCAAAGCUGUGCCACGGUCGUCGCCAGCCUGGAGUUGGAAGCUGCUCAGUCAGCAGCAGCCUCCUCCCGUGGCACCGGGAGGCUGCAGCCCGCAGCGUGCUCAGCGAGCCCUGGAGCAGUAGGGAGUACAAGGAUGGACACGGGGAUUUUGCUAUGGCCAAGCAGUAGGGACGGUUGGUGUGAUGCACCUCAUCUGAAGGGACAGGUGGCUCUGGGGACGGAGGUGUCCCUGGGUGUGCCUGCUGAGCCACAUGGCACAUCCCAGCCCCGCUGACACCGCCGAGAUUUACACGCUUAUCUUUCUCCUUUGAAAGGGUACGGAGGAGCGAUGAAAUGGGCUCCACGUGCUGAGGGAGCCAGCAGUGGGCAAGGAAAACUGCCUCGUGCUCAGUGGAUGUCAGCCAGAACCAACCCUGGGAAUCAGCUCCUUGCUCAGUGCCCUCUGCCAUGGAGGCAGCAAAGCAGAGGGCCGCCUCACUGCAGUCCUCUGUAGGCAAUUCUGCCAUAAGUUCAUUUAGGUGAGCUGUCUUUAGUUCCUUGCUCCACUCGCCGUAAUUGCUUCUUCAGAGUGAUGCUACACCUCAGGCGUGGGGCUGCUGCCUGGCUGGCCUUCCAUAGACAGACCAAGGAAGGUGAGGCUGAAGUCAUCAGCAGGUUGGUCACAAAUGACAUCUCUGUAGCGGUGCAUUGCUGUCUGCUGCUGGAACCUCAAACAGUGCCAGGGCUGAGGGCAGGACCACGGGACAGCUUCAGGCUGCUCAGUAUUUGGCUUCAGCGCUGGAAGUACCGGGGAAUAUUAAUUUUCUUUGGGCAUGGAUAUUGUCCUCUUUACCUUUGUGAAAAAUUUUGGUGUUUGGAUGUUUGUGUGAGGUGUGCAGGUGGAACACAGAGAGGUGGUGCCUUUCUGCUGGUGUCUGUGGGGAUGUUAACGCUCCCUGCGAGCACAAUGUCAAGAAGAAACGUUCUUUCCCUGAAAUAUCUUGUAGUUGUGUGGAUGGGAAGUGCGGGGGGCUGCGGGUUCGUGGUGCAUGAUCUGUCCUUUGUGCUCUUGGCAUCUGUUAUCGUGGAGGUCCCUGCUCCUGAACAGCCUUGCAAAGUGCUAUUACAAUAUCAAAUAAUCUGUGAAGUAGACAAGAGAUCAGGAAAGGAAUGCAGUAGAAAAAUGAGCUUGUGCCAAUAUAUUAUUCCAAGGAUAGUAAAAAAAAAAUCCAGCAUGUGGUUUGAAAACGUGGUACUACGUAGACACAUAGGGACAAAGCUUGGAAGUAAUGGCCCUUGGAUCUGAAUGACACAUUUCAGCCAGGGAACUGCACUGGACAUGGCAAGUAGCAGAAAUUCACGAGUCAGGAGGGUUUCAAAAUUUCCUUCUCUUUCCUGCAAUUGUUAAAUCCUCAGAAAGAGGGUAAAAAUUAGGAAAGGGGGUAAUUCUCAGAAAUGGGAGAUCUGUUUACCACCUCAGUGGUAGGAAUGAGAUGGUGUGUGGGGGUUUUUUUGUUUCUUUUUUAAUUUAUUGUAAACUACCUUAUGACAAUUGGUGAUAAAAGGGCUGAGCCUUUCACAAAUCCAUUCUAAUAAAACACCGUAUGACCUCAUAGAUAUGCAUAGGAUUUAGAAAUAACAUGGAUUUUAAUGAAGGUACUUGAAAGGUAUGGUGCCAUAUUGCAAUUUUAUGGAAGAUCUUAGAUUAAUGAAAUUAAACGUGAACUGCAUUGUUUAGAUGAUGAACUUAAGGUCAUAUCUGCAGCAUUUGAAAGAGAAACCUUGAGUGGAGGGUGUAGAAUCAUUGAUUUAGACCCUGGUAGACAGCUGAAUAGCAAGCAUUGAAGCAUGAAGGUAAAUUCCCAUAUUUCAUUGUUAGAAGGUUAGCUGGUGGCUGCCAGCUUUUCAGUGAUAAUCACCAACCAAUUCCACCCUGUUUCAAAAAAGAUUUUGCCUUUGUGUGCUAAGACACUUUUAAAAACCAUUACUGUUCAAAGCAGGGGCACGCUGUUUAAAGAGAAGCUAUUUCUGGAAAAUAUAGGAUGGCAAUGAGUUGAUGCUGUCCUUGGAUAGCGAUGCUAUUAAGUUCAUUAGGAUAAUCGUCCAUUUAAAAUGCUUAUAAGGAGAAUUUAGACUGUUUGCUGAGGGUGCCAGACACCUCCUACUGCAAGUCAUAGAAUCAUAGCUACCUGUCACCAGUAAUUAGCUCUUUUGCUUCCUUAAGAUGGUCUAUAAGACAAUGGCCCUUUCAGAUUUAAGUACUGUUUUCCUGCCCAGACACACACAGGCACACAGCACACACACACAGGGAAUGGAUGCAUGCACAUGUGUUAAAAUAAUGGACGUGAAUUUGUACAACAGGAAAAUUGCAAGGAAUGAAAUCCUCAGGCCUAAAGAAUAAGUGAUAAUGGAAUGAUACUGCCAAUUACAGCUCGAGAACAGCGUUGUCACAGGGAACAGCUCAUGGAGAUGGAAGGAUGAGGGGAGGAGAAAAGGUUCCCUUUUGACAGUUUGCCGUUAAAGUGAAUUUGUCAAGGAUGUUAAAAUUAGAUUUAACUGGGCCAGAUCCUCAGAUGACAUAAAUCAGCCUGGAGACUUCAAACCAUGGGCUGGCCACACAUUCCUCUUUGUUCUUUCUUCAUCUUUAUUAUCUGCAUCAUAACACUGCCUGAAGGCUGCAAUGAUGCUUUAAGCCCCAUUGUCUUAGCGCCGUACAGAUGCAGUAAGAGAAGGCACUGCCCUGCAUUCCCCUGCUCUGGGCACUGUCUUUUAUCACUUAAAACAUCCAUGGGUUUUACAAAACCUACCGUGUGUGGGAGAUGGACACCUUAUCUCAGCCAGGCUUUGGGCUGUGAGGCAGUCUGUGGGAACUGGCCUCUUUCCAGGGUGGGUGAGAUGAGCUGCUUUCCACAACAGCAAGAGCAGUCGGGUUCCCUUCAGUGAGUACUGUUGCAUACCAGAGUGAGUACAGGGGGAUGAGGGCAAACCCAAGGGGAUGCUCACAGGUGGGAGUGGGGUGGGGUGGGUGUUGUUCUGUGUGCAUUCUCCUCCAGCCUGAGUUUUUGGCAGGCUGAGCGAAGCUCUGCCACAUCAGGAAAACUGCCAGUAAGGAAAUUAGAGAAGAAAUAGUGUUCGAUAAUGGUCAUAAAUGCAUUAUGAUCAUUCCUUUCGUUAGAAACUUCCUUGUUUUCUCCCUGGUGUGCACCAAAAGCAGCUUGCACGUAAUUUAUUUGUGUGUGUUUGGGGAGAAGAGGCAAAGGGAAUAAAAUCUAAGCCGUUAGACAUUCAAAAAGGCAGCUGGGAGAUGCAGAGAUGUGAUGGUUAUGAAAAUGAAUGGAAGCCAUGCGUCCAAAUCCCUUGGUCGUUCUUGAAGAUCUUGUCCCUAGAAGUUAUCUGACAGUCCAUUCAGAAUGGGGCGCUGCCUCUCACAUCUCCAGCAUGCGUCCAGGAGCAGCUGGGCAGUGAGAGCAGCUUAUGUGGGAUCCGAAGGGCAGCUGCGUCCCGCUCCCCUCUGCAGAGCUUUCUGCCGUGUGCAGCUCUUGGCAUCAGACAGACUGGCCCCGCCAUGCCCAGUUCUGUGGAGCUGGUUUGCUGAGCUUCUCACAGAUCUGUAACUUUCCACCCUGUGCUAAAUCUGCCCACAAAUAUUUUUUCAUUUUGUAAGGAAUCUAUUGGCAUUGGCCACUUCAGAAAUGCUGACCCAUUAAGUCUAAACAGGCGAGUUAGGGCAUGUGAAAUAUCAAUUGAUUAUAAAACCCAUAUUAAUUGACGUUUAGCAGCCCCACUAAUGGAGAGGAGCUCAUUACAUAGCAGUUAACCCUCAACGCAUAUAUAUUAAAUAAUCAAUUAGUAUUUAUUUAACAUACAAUCACCUCCCUAUUAGAGCUAAAUUAAAAGCCUCUUUAUGGAGGCCUAGCAGAAGGCGCUGCACUGUGCUAACCUGCAGCCAGGAACGUGCAUUAACAGCAUGGAUCUGUGUUACCUCCGCUGCCCCCGAGAUGCUGUCAGUGACAAACUGGAAGGAGGGCAUCGCUGUUACACCUGGCUGUGGGAAGGGGAACUCAGCCCUGGGCUGGGAUGGAGCAGAGAGAGGCACAGCUCAUGAUAAAUCUUCCAUAGAGCCGUGGCAAGAGCAAAGAGCUCCUGCAGCACAAUGUGUUGUGUAGGCAGAUCCUGCUCCUAGGAGGGGCCAGGCUAAGAGGGAAUUGGGGUAGAAGGGAAAGUCAUAAUUUCCCCUUUGAGGACAGAUCGGAAAGGUGCUGCUCGUCCCAGGCUGAGCAGGGUGUGCUCUCUGUGCGUUUGGCACAUCUCUCAGCUGCAAAAAGGAGGCUUUAACACCACACUGCUUCUUAUAAUCAGAAUGUUCAAUUAAAACUCGCUCCAAAUGGUGCGAGGGGUGAGGCUGCAUAGGGAAAGGUGAGCCAAAUUUCUCCAGGAUUAAACACAGUGCCAAAAGAGCACCCACAGCUCCCGGGCAGGGGAGGGUGCUCACAACGGGGAUGUGCUGUAGGUGUACCCAGAGAUGUGGGACACAGAAGGGAAAGGCCUGAAAGUAGAAGAAGAAAAGUAUUUUCAAGGGUAAAAAAAAAAAUACCAAAGAAAGGAGAACAAGGAGAGCUGUGGGCAGACAGCGAUGCUAUAUAGAAAGCAGAGGUGGCACGGUUGGGUAAUGGAAAUAGGGCAAACUGGGGAGCUGGGAAAGGAGGAGAACUAAAUUGCUCGAAAUGAGUCUCUCCUGUGUUAUGUCCUGAGCUGCCAUUUCCAUCUGUGUGGAGCGCUGAAUAUAAGCAAAUGGAUUUACACCAAGCAGAGAUAGGAGUAAGGGCCUGGCAAGGAAGAGUAAAGCACGGAGCAAUUCUCUUUUCCUUGGAGCCUCGCUUCUGGAAACAUUCCCAGUCCUUGGCGUAUUCAUCAGGAUCGUUACAAUUCUGCUGCCACAAAGAGGGAAGUAUCGUGUUCUCCUGUUAUUUAUUAGCAUAUGCUGGACUGUGAGGGACCGUGGUGGGGAGGGGAGCCCUGCUGUGAGGGGCACGGGGUAAACACAGCCGAAAUGACAGCAGCAGGCCUCAUCACAGAGCGUUAGCAAUUCAAACAGCCACGUCAGGCGGAGAAUUUGAGAGACGGAUGUAACACAAGCAAAGGAAGAACGUGGCAGUUUGCAAACAGUGAGUUGGGUGAUGUUCUUGUAGGUGUGUUCAUUCUUGAAGCACCUCGAAAGAAACGCAAAUGAAAUGUAUGGCGGGCAGGUCUCCGUGCAAGCAAGGCCUGUUGGAGCUUCAGGUCAGAGAUGCAGGAACUUCUUUAUCUCGUAGAGAGAGAUAACAAGAGGGCUUUUGGAAAAUGUGAGAAAACCAUUGGAGGUCUGGUUUUGCCUAAAGGCACAGUGGGAUGGAUGAUGGAGUCUGAGGAGUGGGGAGUUGUGUGCUAUUCUAUUAAUAAAAGCAGAAGGAAGUAGCAGAACAGAAGCAGUGGAGCAAAUCCCAAAGUCAGUGCCCCACCAAACAGGCAAAAAACUCACCAAAGAAAAGCUGAUGAAUUUCCAGGGUAGAAUUUGUUGGCAGACAGACUGGGCUGAUGUUUCCUAAAGCAACCAGCUUAAUCCCUCCAUUCUGCAAAGGCAAUGCCAAACAAAAGAAAGCUGCUCAACAUUUUCUAUUAGCCUGAAAUUUUGCUGCAGAGAAAAUGAUAACAUGGAAGGAAUUUCCUUGGGAAAGAAAAGAGAAAAGGGUGCUGUGGAAUUAUUUUAGUUCAGACGACUGCAAUGCUAAAAAUGAAUUCUGGGGCAGGACAAUAAACUCAUACACGAAUAUUAAUUCUGCUUGCAGUCACCCAAGGAGUUCAGUCACUGAAGCCCAUUCAUGGUCCGUGUGCUUCCACAGCCUCAGAGGGAUGCUCCAAAAAACUUUGAAAAGCCCAAUCUAAACACGUUUGUGCCCAACUUUCUAAAGAUCCUCCUGUGUGGCUGCAAAGAAUAAGUAAUUUCUAUCUGUAACACGUUAUGAAGUCCUCGGGAAGUAGGCACCGGGGCAGUGUAAAAUGGUUAUUUUAGCCUUAUCUUCUCUUACAAUUGCUUGUUCUCCAUCUCCGCGGAGGGCAGCUGGCAGCACAGCGCUGCGGUGAUUUAAGCCCACCAGGCUGCGGUGUUGGCUCUGUUGUGCAGCGCCUGAGCCGCUGUGCAGGACUUGGCCAUAAACCGCACAGCCCAAGGAAGAUGUUGCUUGUUUUCCAGGACAGGAUGAAAUCACCCCGUGCAUGUCCUCUGUCUGUCGCCUCUCCGGGCAGGGAAAACAUAAAUGCCUUUCCCAUCAUUUUAUUUAUUGCCUUUCUGUGUUUCCUGGGAAAAGCCUAUUUUUAUUUUCUAGCACUUUUGUGUGUGAGUCUGUGUGGGGUAAGCAUGUGUGUGUGUGUGUGUGUGUGUGUGUGUGUUUAGGAGGUUAAAAAAAAAUUCUUGCUGUCAGCAAGUGAUGUUACAAACCUGCUCUGACAAGGCUGGUUGUAUAUUUACAGUUGGUGAGAGCGAAGGCUUCAUCAAUCUUCACGCUUUGAAAGGGACAGGCCCGCUCCCAUGAGCACCUGCUCCGGGAGAACAGCUGAACUGUGACUUUCCAGGGAGCUAGCUGUAAAUUUUAGCCAUUCCCCCCGCAGCCCACGCAUGCUUGAGCUCUUUAACCUUCCCAGGCUGGCAGGAGUCCCAGCAAUCAGUUUAGUGCAAAGACUGGGGUUCUUUUUAAUUAACCUUUUGUUUCCCACUGCAGGUGUUUCGAAGUUUCUUAAUGUUAAAAAGGAAGAGGAAAGAAGCUGUUUGCAGAGGUGCAUCCACUCUCUUCCACUCUUGCUAUGCUCGGUGAUCAAAUGGGAGCGGUCUUUCUCAUGUUUCUGCUCCUCAUUUGCCUCCUGCAUGUAAGAUUAUAACAACAUCUGCUCCGAACCUCUGUAGGCAUCUACACAAAGUAUUCCCGUGAGUACAUUUCAGUUCUGUCCUGCAAGGUCACCCUUCCAUCCUUUGUGAGGCAUCUGCUUUUCCAACCCACUCCGCUUUCUCCAGGCAACGUUCUCCCGACGCCUGCCUCCCUCAGUGGGUUGAUGUUCUGUUUAAUUAGUUUGGCCUCUCGCACCCGGCCGGGGGAAGUUUGAUUAGAGACUCAGACAACACUUCUGUUCCUUCAGCCUCCGGUCCUCCCAGAGCACACACCCGAUGGAAGGAGAAAAAAAUGCCCUUUCCUACAACUCCAGCCAGCCCGUCCUGCUUGGACCAUCCACGCUGGUACGGCACACAAGGCUGGUGAGAAGUCAGAGCUUAGAAAACGUCGUGCUAGAGCACAGGGACAGGGUUUACUUAUGUCGUGCUUGGGAAGCGUUGCAGUAUUUUUACACACCGGAACAGGUUGCCCAAGGAGGCUGUGGAUGCCCCAUCCCUGCAGGCAUUCCAGGCCAGGCUGGAUGUGGCUCUGGGCAGCCUGGGCUGGUGGUUGGUGACCCUGCACAUAGCAGGGGGUUGGAACUAUUUGAUCAUCGUGGUCCUUUUCAACCUGGGCCAUUGUGUGAUUCUAUGAUUUUUUAAUGUAAAAGCAUUCGGUUUUCUUCAGCGCUUGCCCUGUUAAUAAAGAAAGCUGUAUCAUUUGGUAUGGCUAAGCACUGACAAUAUUUGCUGCUUAAAGGCUUGCCAUGUGAAAACCCAGCUACCUAAAUCCCAAACACCUCAUUUCAGAAGGGAAAUAUUCCCGCACUGUAAGAAGAGAGUGCUGUUGUCCUAUCAGAGCAAUAAAAUCAGUUGAACAAGACUGUUGUACCUCCAAGAAAAUUCAUAUGUGGAAAUUUAUCACAAGGAAAAAAUACACUUAAGCCCCACUUAAAAUAAUAAAAUACAUCUUUUAGAGAAAGUUUCAGACUUUUCUGGGUAAGAGGAAUAAUGGUUUCUAUAAUUUAAUAGGUGCUAAAUUUGGUGAGGAGUGCCAGCAAAUCCAUUUCACAUAAUGAUAUUUUAUCUCCCCUGAAACGGUCAUUUUCACAAAUGCCUUUUUAUUGGUUCCCUUGUCCCACGAAGCACCCAGGCUGGAGCUGGGGUGUGUAUAGCAGUGGGGAUGGGUAGGGAAACCAGUCAAUAAUGGGGACACAAAACAUGGGCAGGAUCUGCACGAGGGUUAAAUGUGCUCCCUGUAUAUAGAGAACAUUUCUACUUUGACCCGCAGGGCUCUGGCUUUUUAGCACUUGCUCCUGUAGGAGUUAAGGUGGGUGCAACUAUUAAAAACCAGAGAUGACCCACAUGGAACCGUGGGUGAGAAUAGCAUAGAAAAGACUGAGAAUAAAACAACCAACAGCCCUCCCCUUCUGCAGUUUGUGACCACCGUCCCUAAAAAGAAACUGAGUUUCAGGAAAGGGAAUAGAGAAUUUUUUUCUGGUUGGGAAAAAGAAGUGGAAAGUUCAAUGAAUAAUCAGAUCAGAAUAAAAUGGAAAGAAGGGGAAAUAUGUAAGGGUUGGUCUAAAGAGGCCAUGCAUGAAUUAAAGUGUGAUCCAUAGGCUUGGCGUGAAACGGUCAGCGAUAUUCACAAUCAGCACAAGGUCUUUGCUGCCCGCCCCCUUAUGUGCCAUAUACCUGUAAUUGCCAUAUACUUGUCAUUCUGUUGCAUAUAUUUUUUUUCAGUUCUGCCACCCUUGGAAUUCUCCCAUCGUAGGUGGUGUGUUGCCUGCCUGGGAGCUCCUGCAGCCCUGCCUGCGUGGAGGAACAAGGAUGUGAUAAUACCGGGCCCUGGAGCUGCAAAUGCAGAACGAACCAAGGAGUAAAAGAAUUGACAAGACAAGCAGUGGUGGGAAAUGGAGGGAAGACUGUGAAAAAGGUUAUAAUAAAUAAUAAGAAAUGUUGCAUGGGCCAAAGGAAUAAUAGAUCAGCGAUGGAAAGACUCUAAAAGCUGCUGAGGGUUAUUUAUUGAUGGACAUUGUUUAAAAGAAAAAAAAAUCAGUGACAGUUUUCCUUCGUGUUCACCAAGGCAGAUGGCGGGGCAGGUGCCAGAAUGAAAGAUAAAUUUCCUUUUGCAUAAAGAAGAAAUAUUGAAGGAAACUGAGCAGAGGUGAUGGAGAAAUUAGAGCGUUGAAAGACCCUGAAAGCACGCGGUCCAUGUCAGCCCUCUCUCAGGAUUUUCAGCUGAGUCAGCAGAAAGCAGGAAAAACUGUUGCGGGAAAUGAGAACCUCUUUGAAGACCAGUAAUGGAGAGGUUCCUGCAAGUGUCACGUCCAGAGGUCUGAGGAAAGCCUUCCAGGAAUUAAAGUUGGUGGUGCAGAAGGUACCUCCGCGUGGCUGAGUGGCCAACGUGCAUCGUAAUCUGGGACUGCAGUAGAGACAUAGUUAGAAGUUAUGAAUGUAAUGAAGGGAAACCAUCAAAGAUUCAGAAAUUGGAAGCUGGGCCAAUAAUGGGAGAGGAAAACGGACAGAGGGUUUCUGAGGACUUUGUGCAAAUCAUGAGCCAGGGAGAGCCAAGAGAUACAACUUGUGCAGUGGCAGCAAAGGUUGGGUGUAACACGUUCAAAAAGCAUAACAUGGAGUGGAAGUGAUGAGUGUGGGACAUGGAAGCGCCUGGUGGAGCUCUGAGCUGGUGGUACACACAGAGCUGCUGUGAGGAUGCAUUGGUUUCUGUUGCCUUGGCUGUGAGCGGGGGGUUGGGGGGGUCUGUGGGCACCGGAGUGAAUGUAACUGAGGUACAAGAGAGACAUGAGGAAAGGAACAAACCCUGCAGGAGCUGAGGGCACCUGGCCUGGCUGGGGAACCUGCAGGGUGGGUCCAUCCCAAGGCCAGCAGCUGUGCCUCUGCAACAUGUGCUAGGGAGUUCUAAUUAACAGCUCUCCAACCGUCCCUGCAGUGGGUGAGUGCAAAUUAGACGGCUGUUGUAAACAUGGUGAAUCAGACUUGCCAACGGUUAACCAGGAGGAAAACCGUUUAUCUGA